CUACACACGUACUACAAUGGCCGGUACAACGGGAAGCGAAGGAGCGAUCUGGAGCCAAUCCUAGAAAAGCCGGUCUCAGUUCGGAUUGUAGGCUGCAACUCGCCUACAUGAAGUCGGAAUUGCUAGUAAUCGCGGAUCAGCAUGCCGCGGUGAAUACGUUCCCGGGUCUUGUACACACCGCCCGUCACACCACGAGAGUUUACAACACCCGAAGUCGGUGAGGUAACCGUAAGGAGCCAGCCGCCGAAGGUGGGGUAGAUGAUUGGGGUGAAGUCGUAACAAGGUAGCCGUAUCGGAAGGUGCGGCUGGAUCACCUCCUUUCUAUGGAGA
rnacentral:rRNA from 1 species